rnacentral:tRNA from 1 species
GCCACCGAAGAACAGAGCAAGCAUCUUCUAAGCGCUUGGCCGCAGGUUCGAGUCCUGCCGGGGGCG